rnacentral:rRNA from 1 species
UACGGAAGGGACUAGCGUUAUUCAGAAUAAUUGGGCGUAAAGAGCAUGUAGAUUGGUUAUUAACCUAAAAAUUAAGUAAAGCCUUCAAGAAUAUUGAAGAAACACUUAUAGAACUGAUAACCUAGAGGAUAGAAGGAAGUAAUGGAAUUUUUAGUGUAGAGGUAAAAUUCGUAGAUAUUAGAAGGACCUCCAAAAGUGAAGACAAUUAUUUAGUCUAUACCUGACGUUGAGAUGCGAAAGCGUGGGGAGCAAACAGGAUUAGAAACCCACG